GAAGGUAUAGCUCAAGUGGUAGAGUGCAUCCUUAGCAUGCAGGAGGUCCUGGGUUCAAUCCCUAGUACUUCUG
rnacentral:tRNA from 1 species